CAACAGCUCCAAGAACCUAUCUGUGUACUCAUCUACACUCAUCUCCUCCGUCUGCCUUAGCUGUUUGAACUCAAUCAUCUUCAACUCCCUUGAACUAUCAGGGAAAGCCCAUCCUGCAAACUCAUUAGCAAACUCCUCCCAUGAUAGACUGUCCAGCCUUGGGUUCACAUAGUUUUUAAACCACUCUCGGCCCUUCUUGCACUUCAGUGUGAACCCAGCCAUCUGAAUGGCUCUACUGUCAUCUGCCCCUAACUCAUCUGUUAUCAACUUGACUGUCCUGAGGU
rnacentral:lncRNA from 1 species